UAACGGCCGCGGUAUUUUGACCGUGCAAAGGUAGCGCAAUCACUUGUCUUUUAAAUGGAGACCUGUAUGAAUGGCCUAACGAGGGCUUAACUGUCUCCCCCUUCCAGUCAGUGAAAUUGAUCUAUCCGUGCAGAAGCGGGUAUAAAUAUACAAGACGAGAAGACCCUUUGGAGCUUAAGGUACAAAGUUUAACCAUGUUAAACAACUUAUUAAAGGGCAAAAACUUAAUGGAAAAUAAACAUUUACCUUCGGUUGGGGCGACCGCGGAGGAAAAAUCAGCCUCCGAGUGGAACGGGGUAAAUCCCUAAAACCAAGAGAGACAUCUCUAAGCCGCAGAAAAUCUGACCAAAAAUGAUCCGACACAUAGUCGAUCAACGAACCAAGUUACCCUAGGGAUAACAGCGCAAUCCUCUCCCAGAGUCCAUAUCGACGAGGGGGUUUACGACCUCGAUGUUGGAUCAGGACAUCCUAAUGGUGCAGCCGCUAUUAAGGGUUCGUUUGUUCAACGAUUAAAGUCCUACGUGAUCUGAGUUCAGACCGGAGUAAUCCAGGUCAGUUUCUAUCUGUAAUGCUACU
rnacentral:rRNA from 1 species